rnacentral:rRNA from 1 species
AUUGAACGCUGGCGGCAUGCUUUACACAUGCAAGUCGAACGGUAACAGGCCGCAAGGUGCUGACGAGUGGCGAACGGGUGAGUAAUGCAUCGGAACGUGCCCAGUCGUGGGGGAUAACGCAGCGAAAGUUGCGCUAAUACCGCAUACGAUCUAUGGAUGAAAGCGGGGGACCGUAAGGCCUCGCGCGAUUGGAGCGGCCGAUGUCAGAUUAGGUAGUUGGUGGGGUAAAGGCUCACCAAGCCGACGACCUGUAGCUGGUCUGAGAGGACGACCAGCCACACUGGGACUGAGACACGGCCCAGACUCCUACGGGAGGCAGCAGUGGGGAAUUUUGGACAAUGGGCGCAAGCCUGAUCCAGCAAUGCCGCGUGCAGGAAGAAGGCCUUCGGGUUGUAAACUGCUUUUGUACGGAACGAAACGGUCCUGGUUAAUACCCGGGGCUAAUGACGGUACCGUAAGAAUAAGCACCGGCUAACUACGUGCCAGCCGCCGCAGUAACAC